GCGCAUGGGGAGUGGAGGGAGGGAGACGACAGAGGGAGGUUCAUCAUGGGGUGGGUGAGGACGAAGAGCUCGUGACUUCGUGACUCCGAGAAGGGAGUGCGGUGGGUGCGGCUGGCAGUGGCGGAGCCAGGAUUUCACAGCUGGGUAUUCCAUGUAUAAAAAAUUUUCAAUGUAUAUGUGCAAUAGUAAUAGAGGACAAAAUCAAUACAAAAUUGAUCCUGGUGCACAGCUCAAGUAGUACAUAUGAUUUUCUUAAAAUAUAUGCUAGGUAAAAUAUUCAUUUAUCUUGGUAACAAGACAUGAGGCAAAGUGAACCUAGUAUCGCCCCUGGUAAUAAUCAAAGUAUAUAUAAAUUCAUUAUCUAUGUUACAAGAACAUAAUUCAACAUUUCUUUAAAAAAAUCAGAACGCAAAAAAAAAAGAAGAAAACAGAACAUUCAAUUCUUACUUUGAAGAAUAAAAAAAAGAUGGUGUUCAUCUUGUUGUUGCUUCAAGCUGUAUAUGAGAAAGGUGUUGAGGGGGAGCCGUAUAUGAGAAAGCCUACAAAGAACACUGACCGCCGCCGCCGCUAGAGGAAUGUCGUCGAUGGAGUUUCUUUCUGAUGAGUUUAUGGGCUACCGCUACUAGUUGUUCUACUAGACUUAGAGCAACUUCAAGAGUUUAACUAUUUUUG
rnacentral:lncRNA from 1 species